rnacentral:lncRNA from 1 species
AGCAAGACGCAAAAUUUUCCCAAGGUCUCGAACCUUGAAUCCAUGGUUGCCCAUUGCGUCAUUUGGCACCAUCUUGGAUCUCGAAGAAUUGCCCCUAGAUAGAAGGUUCUCUUUUUCAUGAUUCAUAGCGACAGAUGGAGAGGGAUUGUUUUUAAUUACCUCGAUGCUCUUGGUAAAACACUUAGCCUCAGAAUGACCCAGGUCAC